rnacentral:rRNA from 1 species
GACGAACGCUGGCGGCGUGCUUAACACAUGCAAGUCGAACGGAAAGGCCCUGCUUUUGUGGGGUGCUCGAGUGGCGAACGGGUGAGUAACACGUGAGUAACCUGCCCUUGACUUUGGGAUAACUUCAGGAAACUGGGGCUAAUACCGGAUAGGAGCUCCUGCUGCAUGGUGGGGGUUGGAAAGUUUCGGCGGUUGGGGAUGGACUCGCGGCUUAUCAGCUUGUUGGUGGGGUAGUGGCUUACCAAGGCUUUGACGGGUAGCCGGCCUGAGAGGGUGACCGGCAACGUGGGGCUGGAGAUGCGCCCCAGCCCCCGAGGGGGGGAAGAGGGGGGAAAUUUGGAAAAAGGGGGGGAGGCCGAAUGCAGAACGCCCGGGGGCGGGAGGACGGCUUUGGGUUUGAAACCCCUUUCCGCCGGGGAGAAGGGGGGGGGGAGGGAAAGGGGAAAAAAAGCCCCGCCAACCUACGUG